CGCGGAGGGCGUCGGGUGUCGCGCCGGAGGUGGCGGUGUCCCCCGUGCGCUUUCGGCCCGCUCUCCCUGGACAGGACACCGCUACCUCCAUCACUUCUGCAUCCUGGAAUGUGUGACGCUGCGCUUUGUAUAAAGCGAGCACUCCGUAAAUGCAGAACGAAUGUGGAGCUGCCAGCGUUCCAGGCCAUGUUUUAGAAGCACCGACCUAGUAAAAGUGACUAGGACAGCAUGGAGGAGGAGCUCCGAUAGUCAUUACUCGCCUUGGAUAGUAAAGACCUGGGGGAACGUCAGCAUGUUUCCCUGCCCUGACUUUAUCCUCUGCAAAAUGGGAAUAAUAGUCGUCGCUGCUUCUCUUCCUCAUGAGGUUAUGCCAGGUCGUGUAUGUCCUGCCGGCCUUCCCGCAGCCCAAGCUGUUUUCAAGGAUGCAGCCUUGAGAGAGCAAGGUGUUGAGACCGUCUGUCCUGAAUAUGUGGCUGAACUCCUAAGAUUCUGGCAGACGGUGUGGAAAUCUGCUUGUCUUGCAGCCGCCCAAGAUAAGCCUCAAAUCAGAUGGUCAGAACAGUUGAAACACCGAUUCCAACAGUUGGCAGAUACAAAGGGAAACAUUUAAGACAGUGAGUCAGAAGGAAGGUGAACCCUCCAACGGGAUCGGGAACAUCAGCAAAACAACGCAUGCACGUGGUCACAGGCGCCCGGCUGCACCCGGUGCCGGCCUCCACGCGCUCCCCCAGUGAUACGUGUGCCUCGAGAGCUUCUCCGAAAGGUGUUUGACAGCUUCCCUGUGACUGAGCCCCCAUUGGCUGGACAUGACCCAAAAGUUCAUUAUUUCUCUGUAGCGAAAGUUACUUCCCCCACCCCUUUGGCAUUUCACUUUAAUUUGCUCAUUUUUUGUGAACUCUAACACAAAGUUUAGUCAUUUAUUUAACAUGUGAUUUCUGUUCAGAUAGAACUCUAGGAGAAAAAAAACCAAAAACCCAGAUCUAAAGUCUUUCUUCGGAUUUGUGACCUUGCUUAUUUUUUUAUCACUCCAUAAGCAUCUAUCCAUUUCCAGCAUAUUUCUGGGUUAAAUGUUGGGGGGAAUGGAGAGAAGUGAAAAAAUGCGGAACACAGUCUCGGGAUCUCAUCGAAGAGUCAAGCAGAAGAUGGUCAUGUCGUGACAUACACGUGAUGGACAACAGCACAAGGGAACCCGAUUGCAGUGCAGGGAAAGAUGCUUCCAGCCAGACACCUAAGUGUAGACUGACUUUAGGAUGAGGGAAAACUCAGAGCAAGUGAAAUUAACCCAAACACAUUUAGGGAAGGUGGCGGGUCUCCAGCAAGUGCUCAAACACGUGGACACACAUAUACACACACAUGCACCAUGCAUUUUGGGUGUGGAGGAUGGAGACAGGCUACUCUUUGUUGAAUAUUCUUCGGAGCAAGACUCCCAAUGCUGCUCCAUUUCCUUCAGGCCAACUUGCAGAGCUCUUUACCACCCUCUGUCCCGAGACACCCCCCACCCCCCCAGGCCCGCC